AGUGGAAGACUUAAGAUGGCGGCGUUUGCACGGAGUGCAAUCACUGCGUCCUUACGGGGGUUGCAAGGCGUCCGAAGUAUGAGUCCACUAACAAAAGUCCAGAAACUCGCCAGUUAAUAGUAUUGUGGUACUGGCUCCUGUAUCACCCAGCUCUGGAGUUGAAAGAGCUCUUCAUUCCUGAGUCUCCUGUACCACUGAGAAUAGAAAUACAAAAAAAAUUCUAAAACUUGUAUGGAACUACAAAAGACAUUAAAUAAUCAAAGUAAUCUUGAGCAACAAGGACACAGCUGGAGGCAUCACUCUACCUGAUUUUGUAAUCCAUUAUCAAAAAACUGUGGUACCAGCAUAAAAACAGAUUCACUGACCAGUGGAACAGGAAAGCCCAGACAUAACUCAUACAUUUCCAUCCAAUUGAUUUUUGACAAAAGUGGCACACAGAAUGGGGAGAGGACAAAUAAAUAAAUAAAUUGUUUUGAGAUAUCUGUAUA
rnacentral:lncRNA from 1 species